CUCCUAUCUGGGGCGGACGGUUCCCGAGGCAAAGCCGGAGGGAUUAAUAGGGAACACGGUGAGGAUGACCCGAACGGGGCCGAAACCGUGGCUGCCCCCGCAACUGUAAGCGGUGAGGGCUUGUCAUCCAUGCCACUGGUCCACGGACCGGGAAGGCCGGCAAGCCCUUCGACCCGUGAGCCAGGAGACCUGCCGUCAUUCGCCACAGCAAC
rnacentral:ncRNA from 20 species